GGUAGUUUUCAGGUGAUGCACCCCGGAAUUGGUGAUGCACCCAGAACCAGAGAGGCGGGAGCCCCAGAAUUGGGCUCCCUCCUCUCUGGUUCCGGGUGCAUCACCAGAGAACCGCA
rfam:Myotis lucifugus cont2.18010, whole genome shotgun sequence.